UACAGGGGGGGCAAGCGUUGUUCGGAAUUACUGGGCGUAAAGGGCUCGUAGGUGGCCAACUAAGUCGGACGUGAAAUCCCUCAGCUUAACUGGGGAACUGCGUCCGAUACUGGAUGGCUUGAGAUUGGGAGAGGGAUGCGGAAUUCCAGGUGUAGCGGUGAAAUGCGUAGAUAUCUGGAGGAACACCGGUGGCGAAGGCGGCAUCCUGGACCAACACUGACGCUGAGGAGCGAAAGCCAGGGGAGCAAACGGG
rnacentral:rRNA from 1 species